CGCGGGCGGCAUGCCUUACACAUGCAAGUCGAACGGCAGCACGGAGCUUGCUCUGGUGGCGAGUGGCGAACGGGUGAGUAAUAUAUCGGAACGUACCCUAGAGUGGGGGAUAACGUAGCGAAAGUUACGCUAAUACCGCAUACGAUCUAAGGAUGAAAGUGGGGGAUCGCAAGACCUCAUGCUCGUGGAGCGGCCGAUAUCUGAUUAGCUAGUUGGUAGGGUAAAAGCCUACCAAGGCAUCGAUCAGUAGCUGGUCUGAGAGGACGACCAGCCACACUGGAACUGAGACACGGUCCAGACUCCUACGGGAGGCAGCAGUGGGGAAUUUUGGACAAUGGGCGAAAGCCUGAUCCAGCAAUGCCGCGUGAGUGAAGAAGGCCUUCGGGUUGUAAAGCUCUUUUGUCAGGGAAGAAACGGUGAAAGCUAAUAUCUUUUGCUAAUGACGGUACCUGAAGAAUAAGCACCGGCUAACUACGUGCCAGCAGCCGCGGUAAUACGUAGGGUGCAAGCGUUAAUCGGAAUUACUGGGCGUAAAGCGUGCGCAGGCGGUUUUGUAAGUCUGAUGUGAAAUCCCCGGGCUCCACCUGGGAAAUGCUUUGGAGACUGCAAGGCUAGAAUCUGGCAGAAGGGGGUAGAAUUCCACGUGUAGCAGUGAAAUUGCGUAAUAUGUGGAGGGAACACCGAUGGGGAAGGCAGCCCCCCUGGGUCAAGAUUGACGCUCAUGCACGAAAGCGUGGGGAGCAAACAGGAUUAGAUCCCUUGGUAGUCCACGCCCUAAACGAUGUCUACUAGUUGUCGGGUCUUAAUUGACUUGGUAACGCAGCUAACGCGUGAAGUAGACCGCCUGGGGAGUACGGUCGCAAGAUUAAAACUCAAAGGAAUUGACGGGGACCCGCACAAGCGGUGGAUGAUGUGGAUUAAUUCGAUGCAACGCGAAAAACCUUACCUACCCUCGACAUGGCUGGAAUCCUUGAGAGAUCAGGGAGUGCUCGAAAGAGAACCAGUACACAGGUGCUGCAUGGCUGUCGUCAGCUCGUGUCGUGAGAUGUUGGGUUAAGUCCCGCAACGAGCGCAACCCUUGUCAUUAGUUGCUACGAAAGGGCACUCUAAUGAGACUGCCGGUGACAAACCGGAGGAAGGUGGGGAUGACGUCAAGUCCUCAUGGCCCUUAUGGGUAGGGCUUCACACGUCAUACAAUGGUACAUACAGAGCGCCGCCAACCCGCGAGGGGGAGCUAAUCGCAGAAAGUGUAUCGUAGUCCGGAUUGUAGUCUGCAACUCGACUGCAUGAAGUUGGAAUCGCUAGUAAUCGCGGAUAAACAUGUCGCGGUGNNUNCGUUCCCGGGUCU
rnacentral:rRNA from 1 species